rnacentral:rRNA from 1 species
GAUCAUGGCUCAGGAUGAACGCUAGCUACAGGCUUAACACAUGCAAGUCGAGGGGCAGCAUGGAAGAAGCUUGCUUCUUCUGAUGGCGACCGGCGCACGGGUGCGUAACGCGUAUCAAACCUGCCUCAUACUCGGGGAUAGCCUUGCGAAAGUAAGAUUAAUACCCGAUGUUGUUAUGUUACCGCAUGGUGAUAUAACCAAAGGUUUAUCGGUAUGAGAUGGUGAUGCG